UAUCAGUAUGAGAUAGCAGUUGCAGUGUAAGGAUGCAGAAAGAGAUUGUCAUGCUUGAAAUUAUGUGCCUGCUUCAAUCAUUGGACGGUGGAAGAAAGCAUGCAGCUGUUUGAAUGAUUGAAAGACAGCUGAUCUGCAUCAAGAGAGAAAUGGCAUCGGAUGAGAAGCUCAGCCAGUGUUUGGUUUCAUACCAGUGUCUUUCCUCUUCAUCUGUGACAAACUGUGAUUCAAGCUCCUCUGAGUUGAUCAUUCCUCAGACAGUUGCAAACACUACCUUGUUGUCAUGGGCGGAGACUAUACAAUGCAUGAUCCUUUGCCUUUCUAGGCAUUGUGUGAGUGUUCACUGUGGUGUUUGGUGAGGUUAAGCCGUGUUUCAGUAUUUGUGAGAUGUUAGAUCUGAAUUUAUGAGGAACCUUGCACCAACAGGUGAAAUUAUAGUUUCUGAAGUGUAGACGGUUCUAAUUUGAUUAUUGCUGUAAAAUUGUUCAAGUGUCUUGUUGUAUUACAAUUUUGUGGCUUUUAAAUGUUGUACAUUAAUAGCCUUUUGGUUUUUGUGUCUUGUCUUCAAAUAAGAUGCUUUUUAUUUAUUUUUUUCCCUUCUGUGAGCAUCAGCAUGACUCUUACAUUCUAUUACUGAAGUGACCAUGGUUUUAGACCCUAUACCGAAUCUAUCAAUAUUUAAC
rnacentral:lncRNA from 1 species